rnacentral:rRNA from 1 species
UGGGGAAUUUUGGACAAUGGGCGCAAGCCUGAUCCAGCCAUGCCGCGUGCAGGAUGAAGGCCUUCGGGUUGUAAACUGCUUUUGUACGGAACGAAAAGGUGCCUUCUAAUAAAGGGCGCUCAUGACGGUACCGUAAGAAUAAGCACCGGCUAACUACGUGCCAGCAGCCGCGGUAAUACGUAGGGUGCGAGCGUUAAUCGGAAUUACUGGGCGUAAAGCGUGCGCAGGCGGUUUUGUAAGACAGAGGUGAAAUCCCCGGGCUCAACCUGGGAACUGCCUUUGUGACUGCAAGGCUGGAGUGCGGCAGAGGGGGAUGGAAUUCCGCGUGUAGCAGUGAAAUGCGUAGAUAUGCGGAGGAACACCGAUGGCGAAGGCAAUCCCCUGGGCCUGCACUGACGCUCAUGCACGAAAGUGUGGGUAGCAAACA